ensembl:rRNA 5S_rRNA 5S ribosomal RNA
GCUUACGGCCAUACCAACCUGGCUACGCCCGAUCUCGUCUGAUCUCGGAAGCUAAGCAGGUUUGGGCCUGGUUAGUACUUGGAUGGGAGACCGCCUGGGAAUACCAGGUGCUGUAAGCU